CAUUUGAUAGAUACCAAAAUAUAAUAUACUUCUAAUUGUAAUUAGAAUAUUAUUUAUUUUGUACGUAUAUUAGUUAUCCUUAUUAUAAAUGCAAUUAUAUAAAAAAGAUAAACAGUGAGAUAUCAAUGUUCGAACGAGCAAUUUCUUUACGUAUACAUUGCACCUCAAUCUCAAUAUAUAAUAAUUAACGAAUUAAUUUAUGGUUCCUGAUGCCUAAAAUCUAAUCUCUGUGUAAGAUGAUGAUUAGGAUGACUUAAUGGUACAUUAUGAAAUAUAGGAGAUUGUUGUCCCGUUGGCAAAUUACUAGGCAAUGGUUGUACGAUUGGUAAAGCAGCUGGUAAAGGCAAUGGCGUCAAAUGUUGCGGGAAAAAUGUAGCACCCGGUUGAGAUUGCGUUGGAUAAUUGAAGAACCUGUGAAAAAAAAAGAAAAAAAAAAAGAAAAAGAAAAUAUUCUCCCUUUGUUGAUACUUAUUCACUUAAAAUGUUAUUUACAUCAUCAAUCAAUUUACCAUAAACGAUCUCCAACGAAAAUUGGCCUUGGUGCGGGUAUACCCAAGCUCGAAUAAUAUUGUUGUGCCAAUAAUUCAACGUCAUUCGUAUAUUUUCUUUUCCACUUGGUUCGCCUAUUUUGAAACCAUAUUUUAAUCUGUAAAUGAAAAAGGGAGAGAAAAAUCGAAAAAUGGAAAAAAAAAAAAAAAGAAAAUUUUGCCCCGGGUGAGGAUCGAACUCACGACCUUAAGAUUAUGAGACUUACGCGCUGCCUACUGCGCUACCGAGGCGCUUGAAGAGCUUUCGACGAAUAGAAAAUGUCAUUGCGAUCGAAUAAAAUCUAUUAGCUAAUAAUAAAGAGGGAAAACUUAGAAAAGCUUUGCUUAUCCCUGUCUAAUGGGGUUGAUAAUGAAAGAGAGGAAAAAAUAAAAAAAAGUAUUUGCCCCGGGUGAGGAUCGAACUCACGACCUUAAGAUUAUGAGACUUACGCGCUGCCUACUGCGCUACCGAGGCUCCUUGAGGAGCUUUUUUUUACAAUCAUUUGAUCAGACGAAUAUUAAUAAAAAAAAGCUUUUAAACAAUUAUAUUACGUCAUAUAUAUAUGUAUAUAUAUAUACAUACAUAUAUAUACAUAUAUACAUAUACGUGUGUAUAUAUAUAUAUAUAUAAAUCGGUCCUGGGCAUGACGUUAAACUGCAUCCACAAACCGGAUUGACCACUGUUAUAAACGGUCUCCCCACUUCUAUCAAGUGUCAACAGCUUUUUCAGAGGGUAGAUGAACGGAGGGUGGAAGUUCAGAGUACUCUCGUGUCCUUGAGGUGAGAAAUCACUUGUAAAGGUGGAUGAACCAAAAGUUGAUCAACGGGAUAAAAGGGAACAAAGAGAAACAGAAGUUAUUUAAAAGAAGAACGAUGAAAAUUAUUUAUCAAAAUGUAUGAGAACGAUUUUCCCAUAAGAAUUUUAAAGGAGCCGUCCGUUUAAAAUUCGUGACAUUCGGUUGGUAAUAUAUCCUAAUUAAAAAAUCGACGCCUCUCCGGUCCGACGCCUUGAUGGCGCGCAGCAUCCGUCGGGUUGGGUGUGCUGUUAGUCGAAGAAAAGGCUAAGAACGAUGGAACGUUGUAUGUAACAUCGUGCUUGCACAAGAGAAAGAAAGAAAGAGAGAGAGAGAGAGAGAGAGAAAAUAAGAAGAAGCCAAGAGGAAGAAGAAGAAGAAGAAGAAGAAGCUAAGAAGAAGAAGAAGGGGAGCAGCUCGGUGCUGGCUCGUUAACUCUGAGAAAUAUUGUGACAGUUACGUCCGCGGCACGACACGUCUCCUUCUUCUCUCUGAUCCGUCGUCUGAUCGUCUUCCCCUUUUCUCCUGAUCCACCGGAUAAUUAUCCGUCUCGUUCUAAAUGCCAACCAUGAAUAUUUCGACCUCUUUCGACAAUUAUCAAGUCACCGGAUAUCAUUUUGGUCAAAGUCUAUAUACUCAUUUAUAUUACACUUUAACGUGCCGAUUAUUAUUUCUGAUAUCGUAAAUCGUAUCGUCAUAAAAGCUAUUAAUUUAAAUGUUUCAUUUCGAGAUAGAAUGAUAGGAUAAAAAUGAAAUGGAAAAUUGUAGAAUAUCAUUUAACCAGAAAGAGAGAGAGAGAGAGAGAGAGAGAGAGAGAAAGAGAGUCAUAACACCUUCUUUCAUUUCUAAUUGAAUAUUAAUGUAUGAUAUUAAUUUAUGUGUUUAUUAUUAUAGGUGUUUUCGCGUUAGGAAUGAUUCGCAAAAAAUGGUCUGAUUUUUUCUUUUUUUUCUUUGUUUUUUUUUCUUUUUUUUUUUUUUGAAAGUAACUUUCGACCCAUAAAAAAGUUUGGAUAGCUCGUCGUGAUUCAACACGUUCGUUCCUUCAAAAAUACAUCCAACCAGGAUGGAUAUUUCAUCGAGUUAAGAUCCUUUCUUGGAAGUUAAGAAAAACCUUUCGAAAUGUUCACUUUCUUCGUUAAGGGAAUAGAAUGAAAGGAAGAAAGAAAGUAAGAAAGAAAAGAGGGUGGGUAAGUGCUAAUUGGUCCUAAAGGGCAGUCCUCCCUCUUGGCGCCAUACCAUCGGCGCCUCUACACAUAUGGCAUGACUACUGCUAACUAAUAAUUUAGAGUCAAGUUGAUUCCUUUAGAAAAAUCCUCCGUGUACAUGGAUGUUAAACUAUUUCAGGUGACACAAGUCUGCGGAAGUUGGAGGACAUUAAUUGCGAUUUAUCGUUUGAAAAUAUCCUGCCUAAACUUGUCUCACUUUUAUUUCCCAUUUUCCAUCCUCCCCUCCAUCCUUUCCCUCCGCAAUGUUUUCUAAUAUCUUCAUUUAUAUCUAAAUUUAUCUCUAGUACAACUUGUUUUUUUUUUUUUUUUUCUUUUUUCCAUAUUAAUCCUUAAUUCUUCUUUUUUAUUUUCUUCCUUUCUUUCUUUCGUUCUUUCGAUUAAAAAUUCACCUGAGUCUCGGUAAGUUUCAAAGUCUUGCUAAGUUGUAAUCUCUUCGCUACGCUUAAGUACUUGUUCCUUUCAAAUUCAGCUUCUAAUGACUUUAUUUGUGCAGCUGUGAAUGCAGUACGUGGUCUCUUCUUUCUCUCAUCGUCGCUAAUCGUGCUGGCAGUUCUUUCUUGAAUCUCCCUUUCCGCACCUGUUGUUGAAUUGGCUCCGCUACUGCUUGUACACGCCUCUGUAAACAAUAUUUUUUUUUUUUUUACGCAAUGCUAAUUUGUAAAAAUAAAUCCAAUUUCAUUGGAUUCAAAUCAAGAGAUUCCGCGUGUGCCAUUCAAUAUAUUAAUAUUCUUAAAAGGAUAGAAUGAUAGAAUGGAAAGGAUGUGACGAUGAUACGAUAGUGGGUAGAGGAGGCGGUCGGUUAGUCGAACGGAGAGGGUUGGGAGGGGGAGUUCAUCGCCCAGCUUUCCAAUUAACCUACCCUAAAAUUGCCUUACUCUCAUUAAUCUUCACACUUUUUUUCUUUUUCUUUCUUUUUUUGUUUUCUUUGUUCUUCUUUUUUUUUUCUUUCUUUUUUUCUUCUUCUCCUUAUCCCACAAACUUGUUUAUAUUUAUACUUAUCCCAAGUUACAAGGCAGUGGUACAUGACGUCUCACGAUUUACCCAUGAGGAAUGUCUUCCAAGUUCUCUUUUAGUAUUCUGGUAACAAGACCGUGGGCUCUUAAACGGUGAGGAUCAUCUUCUAAUUAUCUGCCCAUUCGUCAUCCGACGAAAAACAGUUCGUCCCUCCUGCCUCCCUCCCACACCCCCACCCUACCCCACCUUAUAAUUCCAAUAUACUCC